UACGUAGGUGGCGAGCGUUGUCCGGAUUUACUGGGCGUAAAGAGCGCGCAGGCGGCUGGUCAAGUCCGAUGUGAAAGCUCCCGGCUUAACUGGGAAAUUGCAUCGGAAACUGAUCGGCUGGAAGGUGGGAGAGGGUAGCGGAAUUCCCGGUGUAGUGGUGAAAUGCGUAGAUAUCUGGAGGAACACCGGUGGCGAAGGCGGCAUCCUGGACCAACACUGACGCUGAGUGAGCGAAAGCCAGGGGAGCAAACGGG
rnacentral:rRNA from 1 species